rnacentral:sRNA from 1 species
UUAAAAAUCUGGUCCUCUAGUCAUCCACAAAACAUAUACACCACAGACAGGCAAUGCAAGCUUCCCCACAUUGCUCCAUUGAUGGCUCUCAACCUUGGAGAAGGUAAUUAGAUCCAUUUAAAAAUGUGGCCAAU